rnacentral:rRNA from 1 species
CCUACGGGCGGCAGCAGUGGGGAAUAUUGCGCAAUGGGCGAAAGCCUGACGCAGCGACGCCGCGUGAGGGAUGAAGGUCUUCGGAUCGUAAACCUCUGUCAGCAGGGAAGAACGGUCACUGUGCUAAUCAGCAGUGAAUUGACGGUACCUGCAAAGGAAGCACCGGCUAACUCCGUGCCAGCAGCCGCGGGAAUACGGAGGGUGCGAGCGUUAAUCGGAAUUACUGGGCGUAAAGCGCUCGUAAGCGGUAUGUCAAGUCAAGGGUGAAAUCCCCGCGCUCAACGUGGGAACUGCCUUUGAAACUGGCAGACUGGAGUGUGUGAGAGGAUAGUGGAAUUCCAGGUGUAGGAGUGAAAUCCGUAGAUAUCUGGAGGAACAUCAGUGGCGAAGGCGACUAUCUGGCACAUAACUGACGCUGAGGAGCGAAAGCGUGGGUAGCAAACAGGAUUAGAUACCCUUGUAGUC